rnacentral:antisense_RNA from 1 species
AGGGAUGCAGAGCAGCUGAGGCUCCAUUUGGCACCACCCCUCUGAGGGUGCCCUCCGAGGCCCCAUCCCAGGGGCUGCGGGGAAGCCGGGCCUGGGGACCCCCUCCCACCCUGGGCUGAGCCCCCACCCCACUGCCUGUGCUGCGUGUCCCCGGCUUCCAGGUCUCUGCUCCUGCACGCCAGGCAGCGCUGCACCUCCGCGGCUUCGCCCUUGACAGCGCCCUGUGGAUCUUCCGAUUCGGUACCCCGAACCCCUGUAGACGUGGCCUAGGGAGCCCCGGACCGCCGGCCCCUGCGGCUGCCAAAGCCGAAGAACUUCUUCAAGGUGCUACAGCAGAAAGCAAAGGGGAUGCAGAGGUGAAGGUCCACAGCCAGUUCCUCUACUGAUUCCCUCCAGGCAUAAAUGUUCAAUCUAACGGCUUUGGUUGGCACUUUCACCUCAGCACUUACCUAUGCCUACAG